rnacentral:rRNA from 1 species
GAUGAACGCUAGCUACAGGCUUAACACAUGCAAGUCGAGGGGUAACGAGAGGAAAGCUUGCUUUCCUUGUCGACGACCGGCGCACGGGUGAGUAACGCGUAUCCAACCUGCCCCCAACUAGGGAAUAACCUUGCGAAAGUAAGACUAAUACCCUAUAAUUUCCUCAGAUGUCAUCUGACGAGGAAUAAAGAUUUAUCGGUUGUGGAUGGGGAUGCGUCUGAUUAGCUUGUUGGCGGGGUAACGGCCCACCAAGGCAACGAUCAGUAGGGGUUCUGAGAGGAAGGUCCCCCACAUUGGAACUGAGACACGGUGCAAACUCCUACGGGAGGCAGCAGUGAGGAAGAUUGGUCAAUGGGCGGAAGCCUGAACCAGCCAAGUAGCGUGCAGGAUGACGGCCCUAUGGGUUGUAAACUGCUUUUAUACAGGAAUAAAGUUAGCCACGUGUGGUUAUUUGUAGGUACUGUAUGAAUAAGGACCGGCUAAUUCCGUGCCAGCCGCCGCUGUAA